rnacentral:rRNA from 1 species
AAGCGUUUGCGGCCAGACUUGACCGCGGUUGCUCAGCCGGUCUCUGCCCGGUGCACUCUUCCGCGGUCAGGCCAGCAUCAGUUUGGGCGGCCGGACAAAGGCGUCGGGAAUGUGGCUCCUCGGAGUGUUAUAGCCCCUCGCACAAUACGGCCCGCCCGGACUGAGGACAGCGUUCGCUCGGAUGCUGGCGUAAUGGCAGCCAA